rnacentral:rRNA from 1 species
CAGCCGCCGCGGUAAUACGGAGGGUGCAAUCGUUAUCCGGAUUUAUUGGGUUUAAAGGGUCCGUAGGCGGAUCUGUAAGUCAGUGGUGAAAUCUCACAGCUUAACUGUGAAACUGCCAUUGAUACUGCAGGUCUUGAGUAAAUUUGAAGUGGCUGGAAUAAGUAGUGUAGCGGUGAAAUGCAUAGAUAUUACUUAGAACACCAAUUGCGAAGGCAGGUCACUAAGAUUUAACUGACGCUGAUGGACGAAAGCGUGGGGAGCGAACAGGAUUAGAUACCCGCGUAGUCCCUGUCUCUUAUAC